UCUUAUCAUCAUUCUAACCUAGUUCACUGUUUCUCACUCCUCUAGAUGCGCCUCUCUUAUCUUCUUUUAACUCCCCCAACAAACCGAAAUCUGAAAGCAAUCAGAAGAAAUCAUAAGAAAUUACUAAAAUCAUUGCUCGUAAAACCAACCUCUUUCACCAUAUCUUGAUCUCCUCCACAAAAUCCAAGUUCUUCCGUGAACCCAAUCUAAACCUGUAACCACAAAACAAAGAAAAGGGAUUAUCAAUUACUCAAAGGAUAUUAAAGAGAUGGCUAAGAAGGUCAAUGAUUUAUGACUUAUGUGGACGGAGCAAGUUAUUUAGGUUGGGGGGAGGGGGGUAAAUAUAUGCGGUGAAAGGUAAUAUGGAUGCACAAACUGGAGAUAAUGUUUGAAGGCAACAAUCUCUGGGUAGUUUGAUAUAACCGAUUUACUAGGUCCACCUAACCAAGAUGAGAAACGGAAACCUGUUGGUUCAUGCCUAGAGAGGGAUUACAUUAAACAGCUGUUUAAGGAUAAUGUGGCUCUUCAGAAGGUUAUUUCCGUAUUGUUAACUAGAAGAAUGCAAGGAGGGCUGCAAUAACAUCAAUUUUAUCUCAAAACCGAGCUAAAUAUUAUUGCUCUAUUAGUUUCUCUAUUACAUACGUACGGUUCUUAGUAUUAUUAUGUAAUUGCUGGUGGUUCACUAAUAUUCUUGUUUGAAAAUCCAGGGAGAAGUCCAAAGCAGCUGGGAAGAUGAAAAUUUGGCAAGGUUAUGCGCAUGCUGGCAUGGUUCUGCUGGGAAACAGUUUUUGAGGUUCUAUAUUGAUGAGUUUAAGUCUUUGAAUGCCCGCUCUAGAGCUAUUCUCAUGCAGAAGUUAAAUCGUAGUGGCACCACAUCAAGGGAGAAGUUUGGCCACUUGGUUCUGCAGGGAAACAGUUUCUGAGGUUCUACAAUGGUUGGCAGGAAUACAAGUAUUUCACUAGCAAGAUGCUUCUAAAAAACUUGCUGAGCCUGGACUUAUCUUAACGGACUCUUUACUAGGAUUAAUUAUGGAUCCCAGUCCAAAUUGAAAUUGUCAAAUUGUUUGGGUGCACAGAUACUCGAUUGUUAAGUAUGGGCUCAGUUCAUCGAGGAAAGGCUGCUGGCACUGAAGGGGCAACCAAAUUUGUGUGUAAUGCUGAGAAAGCUUUGGAACUCAUUUGUUAACCAUGGAGGUUACUAUUGAAGCCCAAAAUCCAUCUCUCAUCAAAUGUAUUAUGCAUCUGAUUGUGGAGAGCCUCAAAUACAUGUUGCAAACAAGGUGCACAAUUAUGAAGUGUUGGAUUAGUUCAUUUUACUGCAGGUGUAUCAAGUGUGUGGGGUUAGUUCAACAUCAGGCAGUUUAUCAUUUUGCUGGUUUGCACUUUUCUUUAAGACAAUUUGAACUUAUUUGCUCUUCUCUUUAAGAAACCUUCAACUUACUAGGAUUUGUAUUGGUGUGAAUUCAGAAUUUGAAUCCAUAUGAUUUUGAAUCUAAGUGUAAUUCAGUUAUAAAUUGUGUAAUGAAUACAUUGACUGAUUAAUGGAAAAGGCAUU